CCUACGGGAGGCAGCAGUGGGGAAUAUUGGACAAUGGGGGGAACCCUGAUCCAGCGACGCCGCGUGAGUGAAGAAGUAUUUCGGUAUGUAAAGCUCUAUCAGCAGGGAAGAAAGAAAUGACGGUACCUGACUAAGAAGCCCCGGCUAACUACGUGCCAGCAGCCGCGGUAAUACGUAGGGGGCAAGCGUUAUCCGGAUUUACUGGGUGUAAAGGGAGCGUAGACGGCAGAGCAAGUCUGAAGUGAAAGCCCGCGGCCCAACUGCGGGACUGCUUUGGAAACUGCCCGGCUAGAGUGCUGGAGAGGUAAGCGGAAUUCCUAGUGUAGCGGUGAAAUGCGUAGAUAUUAGGAGGAACACCAGUGGCGAAGGCGGCUUACUGGACAGUAACUGACGUUGAGGC
rnacentral:rRNA from 1 species